rnacentral:lncRNA from 1 species
AACUUCCGAUUAACGAAAAAUAAAAUUAAUGAAUGAAAUUUAAUUGUAUUUUUCUGAUUAUGAAAUCUGGCAAACAGUUAAAAACUGUUAGAUAAUUGGAGUUAACAAAACACGCCAAAAUGAAUGGGUCGGAGUAAAAUGUUAUAUUUGUUCUUCAAGUUUAAAAUAAGUUCCCUUUCCAUCAUGUAUAAUAUGUUUGCGGUACAUAAUGCUGUAAAGGAAAAUGUGAAAUUAUGCCGUUUGCUGAUUUCAUGAAAUAAUUUACCUUCUCAUCAUUCACAUCAGUUUUUUUUAAUUGUUUUUGAUCAAGGAAGUGUACCAUACCUUCCGGUUUUAAACCAUCCUCUGGCCCACUGCUGUCGAACUUGACUUUUGGUUGGUAAUACCUUAGAUAUCCAUGCAUUACUUCGACACUUGCCAAUGAUGUAAAUUCUGUAAAUAUAAUGUUAAAUGUAGAGUAGCGUAUAUAUGUAUAACUUUAUUGUGGCACAGCAUGCAAGCGUGAAUUGUGUUGCAGUGUACUCAUGGUUUUACUUUUAGUUCAAACGUUCUUGGAUUAUAAUCGGAAUGUGCCAUUUUAUUCGUUUAUGUGUUUCAAUCAUCGAACAGCUGUCAUGCUGAGGUAGUUUAUGAGUUAUACGCGGCUUAAUCGUUUGCUUUUGGUUUCUGCAUAUCAAACCACUAAUUCUAUAGGCAUAAGAGAAGCAAUGCUGGUUAUUAAGGGUGAAAAACAAAAUCAAAUAUGAAUGCACAAUCACACAACAAGCUCCCGUACUGCUUCCGUUAUCAAGUGCUCUAACUAAGCGUUAAUGCUUCAAGGGGUCAGAAUCUCUAGAAAAGGGAAAUUGAGAUUUCUUGCAGUAGGAUUGCGCAGAAAACUCCGCGGUUGUGAAGCAAACGCCCUAACGAAAUACGUCUGCAACAGAUGUAUUAAAUUCUUCGUUUGUACGAAUUUUUCGCAUAAUUACUGUAAUAUAUAUUAUGAUAUCGUAAUAUAUUGUAUGUAAAAACCUAUCUGAUAUAUAUAAAUGUGUUUAAAGUGUAAGUAUCCUUCAAGUAAGAGAAAAACUUUAAAAUAUUUUGUAAGAAUAAAAGGAGACAAAUUAAAUCUAAAUCACAUAUUUUCGUGAAUUAUAUUUUACGUUCUUUUGAAUACUUUUAUAUGACACCUCUGGAACGAGGGUGGUUGAAUUAUAAAAAUUUCGGAGCAGUAUUUUGUUGUCUCUUUAAAUCCGUUUGGAGUUUAAAUCGAACUAUCGAGCUUUUCCCUUAUGAUCUGAAUCGAAAAUAAAAUGAACAUUAUACACCAGGGUCACUGUAAUAGCUUUCUUAAUUUCAUUUUAUUUCUUUGUAUUAUAAUUAAAUUUUCUAUAAUUUAUUUCUAUGUCUUAUAGAAUUAAAUUAUGUACACCUACGAUGAACGACAAUCUUGGACUUGGUUUUAUUUACCCACGUUUGAUAAGCGUAAUAGCGAUAAGUUGUUUUAGUUCAAUCGAGCAUAACUCUCCCUUACGAUACGUUGAUAGCAUGUUCAAGAAAUCAGCCAGAGUAUCAUUAAUCGCAUUUUCUUCAGCCGUUCAGAAGCACACACACGCACGCACACACACACACACACACACACACACACACACACACACACACACACACACACACACACACACACACACACACACACACACACACUCACACACACACACACACGCACACACAUAUAAAUCAUAUAAAUUAGUUUACAGUAAUUCAAAUACAUGUUGAAAGAUCUAAGCGGAAUGAUUAAUAUCGAUGUAGGUAUGCGAGUAAUUAAUAUUCACUAAACCAAUACAAGUGUAGAAUAUUAUGUGAUCAUAAAUGAGUUAAUUGGAAAUGCAUAUACACAAAUUGCCUCUGCACUGAUAGAACUUCUAAUUUAAGCAGAAGUGGCGAAUGGAAGCACUAAUUAUAGAGGGUGGAAUGCUAUUUUUUCGGUUUCAUAUUCUCAUUGCAUUACGGUUAUUAAAAUAGCAAUUAACUUGUUUAGAUGACUUUAUAAAAUAUUGAUUGUAUAAAUUUCGUGUAAUAAAUGAAAUAGUAUACAUACUUACAAUCUUGAAAAGGUACAGAAAUAUGAAUAUACACAUCUGUAAGUGUGUGUAUGUACAUGCACACACACACACAUCCAUGUACACACAUACAAACUUUAAAUCAUUUAAGUAUUCUGAAAUAUUUAUUAUAACGAUACUUGAUGAUUUUAUUACUGCUUAUUAUUCACCCUUCUCUCUCUAUCUCGCACGCUCAUUUAAUACCAACAUUUCUUUAUACGUAUUUCCCAUGUAUAUAUAUAUAUACAUACAUACAUACAUAUAUAUAUAUAUAUAUGUACACACAUACGUAUAUACCCACAUACAUAUAUAUGCAUAUGUAUAUAUCUCUAUCUAUCUAUCUAUCUAUCUAUCUAUCUAUCUAUCUAUCUAUCUAUCUAUUUAUUUAUCUCUCUCUCUCUCUCUCUCUCUCUAUAUAUAUAUAUAUAUAUAUAUAUAUAUAUAUAUAUAUGUAUUUGUGCAUGUGUGUGUGCAUUUGUGCGUAUAUGUGUGUGUGUGUUUUGCGUGUGUGUAUCUGCGUGCUUGUCUAUAUAUGUAUGAAUAUACAUGCGGAGACUAAAUCACUACUUUUACGCUCAGUUUGGCAUAUUUUUGUCUACCUGCGUGAGUCACAAUGAAUCGAUAUUUUGUUAUUUGUACGAGCUUUUGAAAUUAUACAGAAGUAUUCUUAGACAUUUGUGUGGGCAGAUAUAUUGUGUACAAAUUGGCAGGUUACCGGAUGAAAUCUGUGCGUAUACGAGAUUUCUAGCAAGAGUAACCAUGACGAUUAUAACUAAUAUAUGUUUCUCAAAUAAAACAAAAGGAACAUAUACAGUAUAACAACCUAACGGGACUUGACAUUUUUACAAACAGCAAACGAAAACGACAACUAAAAAUCAGCAUAUGAAAGAGAAAACUGUGUGCUGUAUGAUCGGAAUUAUUGUAAACCACCAGAGUCAAUUUUCCAGUUAAUGUUGACCAGCAAAUAUUAAAUAUAAUUCUCCAACAGAAAGUAAACACACACACACAAAAAAAAAUAUAUAAUACAAGCAAAUCAAACUCUUGAUCUGAUUUGCGUUGUUUGAGAAUGACAUUACUUUUUUCGUCAUAGUAAUCUCUUGUGACCUUUGCAGAAAUCCGAUAUCACUAAUACGUAUGCUCACUAAUCUGUCAAGCAAAUUAUACGUUCAUGCAACGAUCAAGAUCAUUGUAUAUAAUAAGCAACCUUUAUUCCUUCCAUAUGUAAGUAUUUUUGUUCGUUUCUACUAAUCAUUCCUCCGAAACUUUCAUUCAUCUCUGCCAUGCUUUUCUCUCCAUCCAAUCGUUUAUUCAACUUUCAUUCUAUUUAUCGGACCAUAAUCCGUCAAGAACCUACAAGUUAAUUAUCCUUUUCUUGGUAGGGAGAUACAUAAUAAACCAAUCAGAGAGCGCAAUAGAGAGGGAGAGACAGAGAACGGCUGGAGAGAGAAGAGAGAGGGAGAAGUAAGAGAGAAGGAGAGACUUCUGAUAUUAUUACCCGACUCGAGUAUCAUUAGUGCUUUUAGUGACUGAUAUAAAAUGGUCUUUAGAACAGAUGGUGGGAGGAGGGGUACUAAUAGGCGGGAGAAUACUUUAAACCGAGAAAGCUGAAACUGGUUUCAGAUGCAACUUAGUAUUUCAAAUUAAAAUAAAAUAUCGUCUGUAGAAAUCGUGAAUAUCACGUGGUAUAAAAAACUUCAUCAUCAUCAUUGUUCGACCGUGGUCGAGAGAAUGGAAUUUACUAUGUUACGCCAGACCUCACGGUCCAUCAUAGCAUUACGGAGGUCCUGUUGCUGGAUGCAUGUAUACAUGAGAUUACAUCAGGGUAGGAGAGUGUGCACCCUCUGGUAUCGCGAGCAGAUGGCUUCCAGAGGAGAACAAUGUCCAGCAAACUGGACUCUUCUACCUUUUACAAGAGAUGAUACAGGUGGUAAUUUCCCAUAUAUUUGUACUUUGGUUGUAUUCUCCCAUGUAUUUGUACUUUGGUUGGAUGACGCUUCCAAGAGAUAUUUUGAGCUCUCAUAAGGAGGCGAGUGUAAGUUCCAUCCAACUGCCUCUCAUUUUAGGAUACUCUCGGUCCUUCACUUGUUAGUCCUUUGUAUUCAUUUCACUGGCGCUCCUGUGUACACCGAAAUAACUUAUAUGAAACUAUAUUAACACAGUUUCUAUAGAAAAUCCGAUGGUAAGCCUUACUAAAUUCACCUAUGACUUUGCUUCGUUGCCGAGAAAUAGUAUCAACCGCUUCAUCUUUUACUUUUUAUCGACCCCCCACGCCCAGUAAUUUUUUUAAAGCCUAAUUCUUGUUCUAUCUUUUGCAGAACCGUUAUGUUACGGAAACGUAAACAUAAGAACACUGGUUGUCAAGCGGUGGUGGUGGACAAGCACUGUCACAAAAACACACAUACACAUACACAGAAACACACACACUCACACACAAAAAAACACACACAUACACAUACACACACAUAAUAUACAUAAGAAAAUGAGAAAGGACUGAACGAUUUUCUUAUGAACUUCAUUAGCUUGCAGCUGUUUCUGCUAUGAACUGUAUUGGGACUCGUAGUUGAGUGCCUGAGUAACACCUUAGAGCUUUAUCGGAGCCCCCCAAAUAUGUAGUGUAAUUUAUUUGCAUAUAUAUAUAUAUAUAUAUAUAUAUAUAUACGACGGGUUUCUAUCGGUUUCUGUCAGCUAAUUUCACUCACAAGGGUUUCAUUAAUUCGAAGCUACGAUAGAACAAUAGAAGACAUUUACCUAAGAUGCUACGCAGUGGAACUGAACUCAGAAAUAUGUGGUUCAGAAGCAAACUUCUUGACUCCUGCACCUAUUGUUCUUGUUUUCUCAAUGUCUCAGUGUUUCUCGAGCGUACAACAGCCCAAAUGGUCACUGACUGGUCUCUUAAUAUACUCUAAUCAUUUAACAAGUAGAGAAUCCAAUUAAUCUUUUCUUUAACGAUCUUAUGAAUUUCUAACGUAUUUUUGUUUUACAACACAACGUUCUGCCUUGUACAGAGUGCAGUCUUCGUUAGAAAUCCAGUUGUUUUUGCUAAAGCGAGGUCAGUAUUUCAAUGAAAUUAAUGCUGUUGUAGGAUCAUAGAGAUUGUUUGUUAGGUCCGGGAACAAAAUACUUCCGGACCUAACAACAGGAAUAGGAACAACUGAAAGACGUAAAUGCUGGAAGUAAAGUCAACAGCCUCGGUUUCCGUUAAUGAUUCCGUUUUUAAAAACACCGCACAUUUAAUGACCCCUAAUAAUGUACUCCUGUCAAAUUUCAGUAAAAUUUAUAUAAAUGUUAGAAAUAAUCAUUAGAUACGCGCAGCCACAUAUGUUCACACGCGCGUGCACACAUAAUAUACGAGUAAUAUUUUUUCACUUCAUGAUGGUGCUGACGGAUGCAAACACUGAAGAAAACAUGAUAGACAUCGAAGUUCAACACCAAAACUACAAAGAGUCCGUGAC